GAAUCAGCGGCGUUGUUAUUGACGCCAUAUUGCUGGGGUGGGAGAGUCACAGAGGGAAGUGCCGCCGCUGCCGCUGCUAUCGCUUUUCAUCGGCGGCCCCCGGCCGGCGAGCCGAGCCCAGCUGCGCACCCACCGUCCCAGCAACCGUCCCGGGAACGGCCGGGGGCGGAAUUCGCGAGGGCGGGGCGGGCGGAGAGCGAAUCCGUCGGCGAAGGAGCCGCCGGGGGGGGCCGGAGCCGCAGCCGCUCCCUGGAGAGGGCGAGAGGGAGGAGGCGGAGGCCCUGACGCAGCUCCCCCCCCAUCCGCCCCAGACGGUGGGGAAGGCGCCUCUGGGCUGGGCCGGCUGCUGCCGUCGCCCCCUCCCCUCGCACCGAGCCCCCUUACCCCGCUCUCCCCGGCCCUCCGCAGCCCCCGGCCCGCUCCCCCCCCGGCCAUGGCUUGCGGCGCCACAUUGAAAAGGACUCUGGAUUUCGACCCUCUGCUGAGCCCGGCCUCCCCGAAGCGGAGGCGAUGUGCGCCAUUGUCAGCCCCGGCCUCCUCGGCCGCUGCCGCCGCCUCCUCCUUCGCCGCCGCCUCGCCGCAGAAAUACCUGCGCAUGGAGCCCUCGCCCUUCGGGGAGGUGUCCUCCCGCCUCACCACAGAACAAAUUCUGUACAACAUAAAACAGGAGUACAAACGCAUGCAGAAGAGGAGACAUUUAGAAAAUAGCUUCCAGCAGACAGAUCCUUGUUGUUCUACUGAUGCACAGCCACAUGCAUUUCUCCUUACUGGACCAGCUUUGCCAGGUACUUCAUCUGCAGCAUCAUCACCAUUGAAAAAAGAACAGCCACUGUUUACUCUCAGACAAGUUGGAAUGAUCUGUGAACGUUUGCUGAAAGAACGUGAAGAGAAAAUCCGUGAAGAGUAUGAAGAAAUUUUGACCACAAAACUUGCAGGUGUGUUUGAAUUAAAUGCAACUUGAAAAAAAUUGAUUAAUAUAUUGGCAACCUCAGUAAUUUUUGUAACUUUAAUGUUAUAUCCAGUGUGUACCUGACCUCAUACUGGUUAAGAAAUGAGAUGCCCAAGUGGAAAAUUUAAGUUUCCAUCUCUGGACAAAGCAGAAGUGAUAACGUAGUGUCUGUUGUAGACUAUCUGGCCCAUCUUCUAUGCUGCUAUGGACAGAAGUUAUAACUCCAUGGUUAUUUCUAUACCAUCAAUUGGUGGAAGCAGAGUUUUUAUUUCAAAUGGAACUUUCUCUUGCUGUCAUAUUUGAGCUGACCAUCUCCUCCCCAUUUUAUGUCUACACAGAGAAAAUGGCUUCCUAUUCGGCUUUCCUAAGAGCCAUUUGCAAUUUUUUUUCCCUUGGGGAAGGGCUUUUUCCUUAAUUUUUUACAGGAGUUUUGCAUUUGAUGUAGAGGGGACAGUACAUGGGGCAGAUACCUUUAGCAUUAGAAGUUUCCCAUUUACCAACCCUGAUUCAUUCCAGACAACCAGCAGUGUUUGGCUACUACUCAGGUGCUUUUCCGAUCAGUGGCAUAGUUACUUUCUUCUUUACUACACAGUGGAUUGCCUGUUUCCUCUGCUCCUGAAACCCUCUUCAUUGUGGGCAGUUGCAUUCACUCCAUGCUCUUCAUGCUGGAUUGCUGGCUCACUGACGUAGUUCAAUUAGUGGAGGCGAGGAAUUUUGACUGUACUUGUGGCUGUGCAUCCUACAGGUCCGUCUUAGAACUGAAUGUCCUUAGGCUCACACCAGUGUAAAAAUACACAUGUAAAUAGUCUAGCAUAUUCACUUUUAAGCAGCCUCAGUAUUCCUGAAUACCUGUGUUAGGUAGAUGGCUUCACAUUGCUUCGUACCUAUUGUAUAAUUUUAGAGUUUUUCCUUCAAGAUAAUCAGGUGCAUUCCUUCUUAAGUAUUCUCUACUAUGGUAUGAUUAUAAAAGCUCAGUUGAAGACCAAGAAUGUUUACACAUUCAUGUUCUGGAUAACUACAGGUUUCCAACCUAAGAGGUUGUCUGCAUGACCGGUACUUCCUGAAAAAUCUCUCGUUAGACAUUCCCUCAGUCAGAGUUUCACUGGAGACUGAUCUCUUGGGGAGAGGAGCCCAUAUGCUGAUUAGUGUGCUCUUAGGGCAGAGGUUACCAAAAAGAGGAUUAGAAAUGCUAUAGGAUCAUAUUACCUCAUUCAUAUAUGGAGCAAUGACAGAUGUUCUGUAAUAUACGGGAACUUUUGAGGAGAGAGUGCCAAAUUAAAAUCCAGAGCAAGUCCCUCAGCAAGAGACGAGUUAAGUUGUGUUUUACCACCACAAUGGUUGUAUCCUUCCAAUACACACAUCCUUUCCAAGAUGAUAGCUA